rnacentral:misc_RNA from 1 species
AAGUCGUAACAAGGUAACCGUAGGUGAACCUGCGGUUGGAUCAUUAUUGAACUUUUUUCUCUCAGCUGCUUAACCGCAGUUUGGGAGAGAAUAACACCCCCCUUGUGAACCUUAUAACCGUAACUGGAGUUGGCUCCGCCGAUGUGCGCGUUCCCAAUGUCUGUUUUUUUUUGUUUGGUAGCUUUGUUUGUAUGAACGGGCUGCUGAAGGAAAAAAAAUCGAUGCUGGACAAUUCGCAUUGAGGGGCCUUCGCCAAAUGUAACCACACCUAUUAUACUGUAUUAUAUUUUGUGUCUCCAUGCGAUUCAAUCUGUGAAACGCGUAUUUAAUAAAAUACAACUUUUGACAACGGAUCUCUUGGCUCUC